rnacentral:lncRNA from 1 species
CUGCCCUCCCUCCGUCCCAUCUCCAGUCCGAGAGGAGCAGCAGCUUGGGGGGGGGGAGAUGGGUGUGACGCGGGCAGCAGGGUGACCCAACUUUCGGAGACCCGUCUCCUUUUAAGGCUUCCUUUCACACAACACUUGAUCCCAGCAUCCUCGCGACAUCGAACGAUAGUGUUUCCCGCGGGUGUGUGUGUGUGUGGCCGUCGUAGCCCCCCCCAAAAAACCCAACCCCCCAAAACAAAUAAAUGGUGGCACGUGAAAGGCCCCCAACUCUUUAUUCAUAGCGUAAGCAUUCGCAGACCGCGGGCCACGUUCUCAGACGCCAGCCGGGGUGAAAGAGCUCCCUUCCGAGGCGUGGAAAGGGUCGCCCUCCCGCGUUCUCUCUCCCCCUUCGAGAAGCGCUGCGGGGUGAAGGGGACUCCAGCGGGCGCCGAGGGGGAAGGGGCCGCCGGCGACCAUGGCGGCGCAGGUGCGUUGUCAGCAGGCAGGCAGGCAGGCAGGCACAGGCAGAGAUCUCUUUGGCCGCCUCCCUGGGGUGAAGCUGGGGCUGAGGAGAUUGCUCGCAGACCUUGGCCGCUCGCCUCUUUCUGGCGGCAGGAAAAAGCAGCGGGCGCUCUCAGUCGCCGCCGCGCUAAGGCCGCCGCCUCCCUUUUCCUCCCCAGAAAACACACACACACAAGCCGCACAGCACCCUCUCGCUUAGUUACAACCGGUUUGUACCGGCCGCCGGUUCUGGCUGGCUGGCUGGCUGGCUGCACCCGGCAGUGCCCUGGCUGCAGAGCCAGAGGUUGGGAGCUCAAUUCUUGCACUGGGCUUCCCAGGAGAAGAGCCAGCCUGGGUGGCGUUGGGCCAGCUGCACCGUCCCAGCACACGUCCAGAAGAUGGGAAUGGGUGACCACGUCUGAGUACUCUCUACCUAGAAAACCCUGGAAAGGCUCCCCCAGAAUUGAUUUGAUGGCACAGACGAUGAACAAUCUGCUAGAUGCAAAACAGGAAGCGAAGAGCAUCAAACCCUCUUCUAUGACAUGA